rnacentral:lncRNA from 1 species
UCAAUACCCCAAUGGACGAUACAUCAUAAGUUGAGUUGGUUAAACAUAAACAUCAAUAGACAUUAAGAUCAUGUAUCAACAAGGGAUUACAAUACUCAUAGGGUCAAGCACAACUAUAACCUCAAUAUACCUCAUUACAUAACAUACUGUAAUCUCUUACAUUACAUCAUAGUACAAUUGUCAUGUCCACAAUCUAACUAUUACAUAAACAUACUUCAAAACUCUGGCUAACCUCCUGGUCUACCCUGUACCUGCACAUCUGGGGUUAGGGGAGAGGGGUAAGCUACAAAGUCCAGUGAGCAGAAUAAUAAAACAAUUAAAACAUAUGAUAACAUGGAAUGCAUCACAACACAGCUAAUCACAUCAAGGAUGAAUUUGUCACCAAUAGUCCCCUACAUGGACCAACUGUGCCAGGGGCGUAGAAUGGGCCUCACUGGUCUUUCUCUUACAUAACAUAACAUAACAUGGUCCAACUGUGCUAGGGGCGUAGAAUGGGCCUCACUGGUCUUUCUCUUACA